GGUGGCUGGACGUUGAGAGAAGCAAAUCAGCGCAGGAACACACAGGCGGCUGGACAUCGAGAGGAACACACCGACGGCUGGACAUCGAGAGGAACACACCGACAGGCACUGGCACUGUGAAAGAAGGCAGACAAAAUGUGUGCAUAUUGUAGCUUCCAUUUAUAUAAUUGUAGGAAAUGCAAAUGAAUCUAUAGUGACAGAAAGCAGAUCAGUGGUUGCCUAGGGACUAGGGGUGGGGGGUGCAGGAGAGAGGGAUUUAAAGGGACACAAAGAGGUCACACAGGCCUGUCCCUAACCUGGGGCAUCUCGGGUUGCUCUCCUUUUCCAGGAUCGUGUGAGUGGGGCAUGGGAAAACGGCUCCUUCUACUCACCCCCCAGGGGAAAAAAAAACAUUGUAAAUGUCAGAAAUGUGAUGGAACUGUCAAAAAUACAUGACAUCGGUAAUACAAUAAAUGGUGAAACAUAUAUUCUUUUUUGCUUUGUGACUGUAAAAAUUACAAAAUUGUCUCCAUGUAAAAGUCAAAACAAAGAAAAUUUAUGACUACUGAGAGAGGUUGGACAGGAAUCACGAGUGUCUGUAGCA
rnacentral:lncRNA from 1 species